rnacentral:rRNA from 1 species
GACGUAGGUGGCGAACGUUAUCCGGAAUCAUUGGGCGUAAAGGGUGCGUAGAUGGCACGAUAAGUUAUUAGUGGGAAAUCGAGGCUCAACCUCGUGGAAGCUGGUAAUACUAUUUUGCUUGAGUGCAGGAGAGGUUAACGGAACUCCAUGUGGAGCGGUAAAAUGCAUAGAUAUAUGGAAGAACAUCAAUAACGGCGAAGGCAGUUAACUAUUCUGCUACUGACAUUGAGGCACGAAAGCGUGGGGAGCAAAACGG